AUUGAACGCUGGCGGCAGGCUUAACACAUGCAAGUCGAGCGGGCGAGGUUGCUUCGGUAACUGAGCUAGCGGCGGACGGGUGAGUAAUGCUUAGGAAUCUGCCUGGUAGUGGGGGAUAACGUUCCGAAAGGAACGCUAAUACCGCAUACGUCCUACGGGAGAAAGCAGGGGACCUUCGGGCCUUGCGCUAUCAGAUGAGCCUAGGUCGGAUUAGCUAGUUGGUGGGGUAAUGGCUCACCAAGGAGACGAUCCGUAACUGGUGUGAGAGGAUGAUCAGUCACACUGGAACUGAGACACGGUCCAGACUCCUACGGGAGGCAGCAGUGGGGAAUAUUGGACAAUGGGCGAAAGCCUGAUCCAGCCAUGCCGCGUGUGUGAAGAAGGUCUUCGGAUUGUAAAGCACUUUAAGUUGGGAGGAAGGGCAUUAACCUAAUACGUUAGUGUUUUGACGUUACCGACAGAAUAAGCACCGGCUAACUUCGUGCCAGCCGCCGCCGUAACAC
rnacentral:rRNA from 1 species